rnacentral:tRNA from 1 species
UGUUCUGUAGUUUAGUUGGUUAAAGCGCCGGACUUGCGAUACCGAGCCGUGGGUUUGAAUCCAGCCAAAACAA